GUCCUUUGGCUUAGUGGUUGGAGCGUCCGCCUCGGAAUCGGGAGGUCGCGGGUUCUAUCCCCGGCCGAGUCAUACCAAAGACU